UUUAGGUGUGAUGUCGUACUUUUUGUAGAACGGGCCGGCGAGUUACGAUGUGAUGCGAGGUUAAGUGUCAAAGACACGGAGCCGAAGCGAAAGCGAAUCUGAAGAGGGUGAGAAGUAUCAUGUCGUAGACCCGAAACCGAAUGACCUAACCAUGAGCAGGUUGAAGCAAUGGUAAAACGUUGUGGAGGACCGAACACACGCCUGUUGAAAUAGUCGGUGAUGACUUGUGGUUAGCGGAGAAAUUCCAAACGAAUUCGGAUAUAGCUGGUUCUCCUCGAAAUAGCUUUAGGGCUAGCCUCGCAUAUAAUCCUUGUCGGUAGAGCACUAAAUGGCCUAGGGGGCUUCACAGCCUACCGAAGCUUAUUAAACUCCGAAUGGCAAGGAAUUGAGUGCGGGAGUCAGACAGCGACAGCUAAGUGCCGUUGUCAAAAGGGAAACAGCCCAGAUCUACAGCUAAGGUCCCGAAGUACAGGUUAAGUGGAAAAGGAUGUGACAAUGCAUAGACAACCAGGAUGUUGGCUCAGAAGCAGCCACGCAUUAAAAGAGUGCGUAAUAGCUCACUGGUCGAGUGAUGUUGCGCCGAAAAUUAACGGGGCUCAAACCUGACACCGAAGCUUAGGAAUACGCGAAGCGUAUUGGUAGAGGAGCAAUGUAUACGAGCGGAAGCCGUACCGGAAGGAGCGGUGGAUUGUAUAGAAGAGAGAAUGCCGGCAUAAGUAGCGAGAGCGGAGCGAGAAACUCCGCCGUCGAAAGUCUGAGGUUUUCCGGGGAAGGUUCGUCCACCCGGAGUAAGUCGGGACCUAAGCGGAGGCCGAAAGGCGUACGUGAUGGACAACAGGUUGAUAAUCCUGUACUACCGAGAGAGCUAAUGAAGCAGUGACACGGAAAGAUAGAAGAAGCGCGCAGAUGGAAAAGCGCGUCCAAGCAGUGAGGGAGGCUUGUAGUAAAGUACGCAAGUCAUAAUCCUGGGCUGUGACGGGGAGUGGACCAAGGAAACGAAGUCUUUGAAUCUACGCCGGCGAGAAAAGCUGCUAAAUGUUUCGAGGUACCCGUACCGCAAACCGACACAGGUAGACGAGAAGAAAAUUCUAAGACGAACGGGAGAACCCUUGUUAAGGAACUCGGCAAAAUGACCCCGUAACUUCGGGAGAAGGGGAGCCACAGAGAUGUGGCCGCAGUGAAGAGGCCCAAGCGACUGUUUAUCAAAAACACAGGUUUCUGCUAAGGCGUAAGCCAAGGUAUAGGAGCUGACUCCUGCCCAGUGCCGGAAGGUCAAGGGGAUCCGUCAGCGCAAGCGAAGCGGUGAACUUAAGCCCCGGUGAACGGCGGCCGUAACUAUAACGGUCCUAAGGUAGCGAAAUUCCUUGUCGGGUAAGUUCCGACCCGCACGAAUGGAGUAACGAUUUGGGCACUGUCUCAACAGGGGGCCCGGCGAAAUUGUAGUAUACGUGAAGAUGCGUAUUAACCCGCGACUGGACGGAAAGACCCCGUAGAGCUUUACUGUAACUUGAUAUUGAAUCUCGGCAAUUGAUGCACAGAAUAGGUGGGAGACUGAGAAGCAGGUGUUUCGGCAUCUGUGGAGUCAACUUUGGGAUACCACUCUUCGAUUGCUGCGAUUCUAACCGGGACCGUUGAAGCACGGCUCGGGACAUUGUCAGGUGGGCAGUUUGACUGGGGCGGUCGCCUCCUAAAAUGUAACGGAGGCGCCCAAAGGUUCCCUCAGAAUGGUUGGAAAUCAUUCGACGAGUGUAAAGGCAUAAGGGAGCUUAACUGUGAGACAGACAUGUCGAACAGAUGCGAAAGCAGGGCUUAGUGAUCAGGUGGUAUGAGAAUGGAAUUGCCAUCGCUUAACGGAUAAAAGUUACCUCGGGGAUAACAGGCUUAUCUCCCCCAAGAGUUCACAUCGACGGG
rnacentral:rRNA from 1 species